rnacentral:rRNA from 1 species
GGAAUUGUUCGCAAUGGGCGCAAGCCUGACGACGCAACGCCGCGUGGAGGAUGAAGGUCUUCGGUUUGUAAACUCCUGUUGCCCGGGACGAAUGGCUCCGACCUAACCCGUCGGAGUGUGACGGUACCGGGCGAGGCAGCCCCGGCUAACCCCGUGCCAGCAGCCGCGGUAAUACAGAGGGGGCAAGCGUUGUUCGGAAUUACUGGGCGUAAAGGGCGCGUAGGCGGCCUUCUAAGUCGAACGUGAGAUCCCCGGGCUCAACCCGGGAACUGCGUCCGAUACUGGAAGGCUUGAAUCCGGGAGAGGGAUGCGGAAUUCCAGGUGUAGCGGUGAAAUGCGUAGAUAUCUGGAGGAACACCGGUGGCGAAGGCGGCAUCCUGGACCGGUAUUGACGCUGAUGCGCGAAAGCCAGGGGAGCAAA